rnacentral:rRNA from 1 species
AUCCUGGCUCAGAAUCAACGCUGGGGGCGUGCCUAACUACAUGCAAGUCGAACGACAAAGUGGCGCAAGGCAUGAGUAGAGUGGCAAACGGGUGAGUAACACGUGGGUGACCUGCCUUCGAGKGGGGGAUAACGUCCCGAAAGGGACGCUAAUACCGCAUMACAUCCUGCCUUUAAAGAGGUGGAGAUCAAAGCCGGGGAUCGCAAGACCUGGCGCUUGAAGAGGGGCCCGCGCCUGAUUAGCUAGUUGGKGGGGUAAUGGCUCACCAAGGCRACGAUCWGUAUCCGGCCUGAGAGGGCGGACGGACACAC